AUGAACGCUAGCUACAGGCUUAACACAUGCAAGUCGAGGGGCAGCAUGGUCUUAGCUUGCUAAGGCCGAUGGCGACCGGCGCACGGGUGAGUAACACGUAUCCAACCUGCCGUCUACUCUUGGACAGCCUUCUGAAAGGAAGAUUAAUACAAGAUGGCAUCAUGAGUCCGCAUGUUCACAUGAUUAAAGGUAUUCCGGUAGACGAUGGGGAUGCGUUCCAUUAGAUAGUAGGCGGGGUAACGGCCCACCUAGUCUUCGAUGGAUAGGGGUUCUGAGAGGAAGGUCCCCCACAUUGGAACUGAGACACGGUCCAAACUCCUACGGGAGGCAGCAGUGAGGAAUAUUGGUCAAUGGGCGAGAGCCUGAACCAGCCAAGUAGCGUGAAGGAUGACUGCCCUAUGGGUUGUAAACUUCUUUUAUAAAGGAAUAAAGUCGGGUAUGGAUACCCGUUUGCAUGUACUUUAUGAAUAAGGAUCGGCUAACUCCGUGCCAGCAGCCGCGGUAAUACGGAGGAUCCGAGCGUUAUCCGGAUUUAUUGGGUUUAAAGGGAGCGUAGAUGGAUGUUUAAGUCAGUUGUGAAAGUUUGCGGCUCAACCGUAAAAUUGCAGUUGAUACUGGAUAUCUUGAGUGCAGUUGAGGCAGGCGGAAUUCGUGGUGUAGCGGUGAAAUGCUUAGAUAUCACGAAGAACUCCGAUUGCGAAGGCAGCCUGCUAAGCUGCAACUGACAUUGAGGCUCGAAAGUGUGGGUAUCAAACAGGAUUAGAUACCCUGGUAGUCCACACGGUAAACGAUGAAUACUCGCUGUUUGCGAUAUACUGCAAGCGGCCAAGCGAAAGCGUUAAGUAUUCCACCUGGGGAGUACGCCGGCAACGGUGAAACUCAAAGGAAUUGACGGGGGCCCGCACAAGCGGUGGAGUAUGUGGUUUAAUUCGAAGCAACGCGAAGAACCUUACCAGGUCUUGACAUCCUUUGACCACUCUGGAGACAGAGCUUUCCCUUCGGGGACAAAGUGACAGGUGGUGCAUGGUUGUCGUCAGCUCGUGUCGUGAGAUGUUGGGUUAAGUCCCGCAACGAGCGCAACCCCUAUCCUCAGUAGCCAGCAUUUAAGGUGGGCACUCUGGGGAGACUGCCAGGGAUAACCUGGAGGAAGGCGGGGAUGACGUCAAAUCAUCAUGCCCCUUAUGAUUUGGGCUACACACGUGCUACAAUGGUGGUGACAGUGGGCAGCGAGACCGCGAGGUCGAGCUAAUCUCCAAAAGCCAUCUCAGUUCGGAUUGCACUCUGCAACUCGAGUGCAUGAAGUUGGAAUCGCUAGUAAUCGCAGAUCAGCAUGCUGCGGUGAAUACGUUCCCGGGCCUUGUACACACCGCCCGUCAAGCCAUGGGAGCCGGGGGUACCUGAAGUGCGUAACCGCGAGGAGCGCCCUAGGGUAAAACUGGUGACUGGGGCU
rnacentral:rRNA from 1 species